UUGUAAAGACUGAUUUUUUCUGAAACGUUAGCUUAAUUAAUCAACCUAUAAUCCUCCUUCACUGCUGCUGCUCCAGAAAUAUUCCCACUUCCCUAUACUUUUCUUCUUUUCCGAAAUUGAAGAAGUUUUAGCAAACCUUUAUGUGUUAUGGUGCUUAACAGUUAAAGAGAGAAAUGGUUCAGCUGGUUCGGCAGGUUCAGAGAGGAAGAGGAAAGGUUUGGGACGGACGGAGUGCUGAGUAUAAUUCUUGGCUCUUAUAUUAUCACACGAAACUUGCUUGCCUGAACUUAAUGGAUGUGUAAUAGGCUUUUUUUUAAACCACCUCCGGCUAACCCCUGCAAGCUCUGACUCUCCCGCCCAAAUAACUUGUUAUCUCAACGCAUAGAUUAUUCAC
rnacentral:lncRNA from 1 species